GCGGAGCAGUCUUUACAUUUCACUGCACAUCUGCUGAGCAUGUGACAAAUCUUGAAUCUCCCUUGUCCUGGUACUCAGUCUUCCUCUCCCUCGUGCAGGCAUUGUAUUUACUUUCUUUAUGUUGCUCUAUAUUGUUCCUUUUCCACACAAGAUCAGCCCAAAGAGGUCCUUUUUUACUGUAUAACAUGUAGGCAUGCGAUUGAAAGAACCUCAACACCUGAGUGUGUUCCUAUGGGAUUCCGCUGUGAUUGAGCUUUUUGCAUAACUUGAAUAAGCUGUUUCUCAGUAGCAAUGGAAAAAAAUACAGGGGAUAUAUACAGUAAUGGGUGCAGGGCCAAAUGUCUCUGGAUGCUGCAACCAUUUAGAGCACAGAGAUUUGUGACAGCAGGAGGCUGACUUCAUCAGUACAGUCGUUUUAGCUUCUGAUUUUUAUGGCUGACAUCUAUGAAUCAACUUAUGUCCAGUUUGAUUAACACUGACGCAAUGGCAGAGUGGCAGCCAUCUUGGUUUAUCUGAAUCCUAUUGAAUAAAAACCUGUCUAAAUCAGUGAGGGGCGAGUCAGACUACAUCAGGUGGGUUACAGGUUUUAUCUAGUGAAUAAACAAGAAAGUGACACUAAGGCUAUAUUUACUAUAGUGUGAUUUCAUGAUCAAGUACCAUUGGUGUGGUCUCCAUCAUAAAAAGCAGUGUAUCUACCAAAUUAAUCAUUACAGAUUUUGUUUCCCCUUUACGUUCUCCCAGAGACAGAAAAGCUGUAAAUAAGAAUCUGCUCUCUCUCCACUAUAACUGACUUGAUGGAAAUAAUUUCACUUCUUUUACUUAUGACUGAGAGAAAGCACCAACUCAGCGACUCUGCUUGCCCUGGGAUUGGCACACAACCCUUGUCAGUGUUUAUCAGUAACUAUGUUUUGGCUAUCUACAGAGUUAAUGCUCCACCAGUGUUGCUUAGGAGGUAAUAAUGGCUCACAGCAAAAGGCCUGUAAAUUAAAACCAUACACACAGAGUCAGGUACCCAAACUUAACAGGAAGUCUUAAGGUUGCCAUAGAGAACAAAGGCACUAAACCCAAAACAAGUACACGACAAGUGUUUGAACAAUCUAUUCACCUCUGGAGUCCCAACAGCAGAGCAGCACACUGUGGGGUCUUGUAUUUUGACAAAAUCAUGGGUUGCAACACGAGCAGCGGCAGCACGGUGGUGGAUCCCUCUGAGAAGCCAGAGGAGAGACCAAAGACAGCUGCUUCAACCAAGGAGGCGUCUACAGAGGAAACGAAUGGAACAACGGUCGAAGACAAGGAUGAAAAGACGGAAAGUUCCAGCUGAUCUUCAAACCUCAUUGUGAGCUACUCUCAAAUGUGUACAGAUUGGCCUGUCAGGGGUGAAGGAGGGCCUGUCAGCAGGAGGAGGAGGAGGAGGCAAUGCUGCACUACUGUCCAUCAACCUUUGUGUCAUCUGGGCCAGCAACACACACAAAUACACACACUUCUGAAUACAUACAGCUCCUGUGUUCACAAUGCUUAAACUUUUUGUGAUAAAUACACUAGUCAAAUACCA